rnacentral:rRNA from 1 species
GAGUACGCGUAGGAAUCUAUCCUUGAAGUGGGGACAACCGUGGGAAACUACGGCUAAUACCGCAUGAUGCCUGAGGGACCAAAGACGAAAGUCGUUUGAGGAGGAGCCUGCGUCUGAUUAGGUAGUUGGUGGGGUAAAGGCCUACCCAAGCCUGCGAUCAGUAGCUGGUCUGAGAGGAUGAUCAGCCACAUUGGGACUGAGACACGGCCCAAACUCCUACGGGAGGCAGCGGUGGGGAAUAUUGGACAAUGGGCGCAAGCCUGAUCCAGCAAUGCCGCGUGGGUGAAGAAGGUCUUCGGAUUGUAAAGCCCUUUUGGCGGGGACGAUGAUGACGGUACCCGCAGAAUAAGCUCCGGCUAACUUCGUG